UAGAAGGAUGUGAUUUCCCUAAAUGUUGAUUUUACUUGUAUUGUUAGUAGUAGAGGCGUGAUUCACUCAUUGAAAUUUCAUUUUCUAUUAAAAUGUUAUUAUUAUUUUUUAUUUUGAUAAUAAAUUAUACUGUGUUAUACUAUCAGUCCAUAUAUGUCCUUAACAUUAUAAAUAAAGGCUCAAAUCUAACCUUCCUCCGUUAACCCUAUUCAUUUUAGCCAAACUGGUAUGCCAACUCACCAUACAAAUCCUUCUUAUUCCACCACUACCCAAAGUCAGCAUCACUGUUAACAUAUGUAUCAUCGCCAACAACAUAAAUCAUCUACACCUACCUACCAAAUUGGUAUGCACAUAUAUCCUGCUUUUCAUUCACAUGAACCAGGCGACAGUAAUAGGGUGGCGGAAUUGGGAAUUGCCUUUCUGUUAGCCUGAGAAAAUAAGGUAGAUAGGGAGACGGAUCAGACCCUUAGGCUGCCUUCUCAGCGAUUGUACAAGAGCACUCCACUUGUUCCAGAGUUGCAAUCCAGCUUGGUGUGAUUCUUUUGUGUACAUUUGGGCAUGGCGGGGUCCAGUCCCGUCCUUAUUAUGUUAUGCACUCCAAUAGAGGCUCGUAGAUAGAUAUGCAUAACCUGCACUUGCUGCAUUCUUUUAUAAAUGUAGAGUACCAGGUGGGAUUGACAUCUACCCAUCGUGGCUAAUAGUUAGAGGCUGCUGAUUCGAGUCUGUUGGGGUGAGAAUGUGGAUGCUUCGCUACCGGAAGACUCUUCAUCUAUUAUGUCUUACUUUGCUAUUCUGAGACAUUAUUGAGACUAUUGAUGUAUUAUUAUUACUUCCAGACUUAUUGAUUUUAGUUAGAUGCUCUUGUAUGUCUAGACCAGAUACUGGGGUGGUUUUUGAUUUACUUCCGCAUUUAUUAUAUAUUCAUAUGUCAGACUU